UACAUGGGGUGCAAACGUUGCUCGGAAUUAUUGGGCGUAAAGCGCGCGUAGGCGGUUAUCUAAGUCGGAUGUGAAAGCCCUCGGCUUAACUGAGGAAGUGCACCCGAAACUGGAUAGCUAGAGUACGAAAGAGGGUCGCGGAAUUCCCGGUGUAGAGGUGAAAUUCGUAGAUAUCGGGAGGAACACCGGUGGCGAAGGCGGCGACCUGGGUCGAGACUGACGCUGAGGCGCGAAAGCCAGGGGAGCAAACGGG
rnacentral:rRNA from 1 species